rnacentral:tRNA from 1 species
GGUGGCUUAGUGGUAGAGUGCUUGCCUAGCAUGCAUGAGACCCUGGGUUCAAUUCCUCAGUACCA